rnacentral:lncRNA from 1 species
GAAUGGCUUGUAUAAUGUUAUUUUGGGUUAGAAUAUGUUAUAAUACAAUGAAUUUGAUUGAUUACAAGUGCUAGAGAUGCAUGAAGAAUGUUUAAAAGUGAGAAGAAAGACUUGUUAAUAUUUGGUCACAAAUGGGAUAAGAACCCAAAACCAUUGCUUUGAGGCAGUGAAUGGCUUGUAUAAAGUUAUUUUGGGUUAGUAUAUGUUAUAAUACAAUUAAUUUGAUUGAUUACAAGUGCUAGAGAUGCAUGAAGAAUGUUUAGAAGUGAGA